CAGUGAAAUAAUUCCUAAUUCACUUUGCUGUCCCGUUUUUGUGCAUUGCAUUUCACCAAUUACUUGUGCGACGCCUUGUUGUUGUUGUUGUUGCAAUUGCUCUCAAAACGUUUACUGCUGAACAACCACACGCACCUGAUAUUCCCGGUGUAGAGCUUUGACAAAAAGCUUUUAACUGCGCUCUUCGCUUAUUGUUUUGAUCGGCUCUCCGCUGCAAAUAUGUAUAUGUUUUUUUAUACCGAUCUUGUCCAAUCUGUAUAAACAAUUUCCAUGAUGAGUUCAUGCUGUGCAAUUUCCUGCGCUCACAACAAUAAAAUAACUUCCCGUCAACCUUUAAUUUGUUGUUGGAUUUGUGAUAACGUGGCGCAACAUAGCUGGGUUGAGAUGGGGCGUGUGGACGUGUCCGAGCUGCAGGCACAUCGAAGUCGACAUGAAAUCGUUGAUGUGGCAAACUCACUUAGAUUUCAUGGCCUUUCAUCUGAAUUUCGCGAGCCUCGCGAUUAAUUCAAUUCUGCCGAAUCCCACUUUAAAAACUUAAAGAGACAAAGAACUUUACGACUCCAGCGUAGUUCCUCCCCCUCCUCCUUAACGUAAGUUGGUGCGGGCAAGAGGCAGGAUGCAGCAUUAACUUUACCGACUGUUGCCUCGGCGACGGCUCUGGGUGCUCUUCAUCAACGUCCACUUAUUGUACCGCAGCCUGCUUAUACCAACUCACCUGGACCAACAUUGUCAGCAAUGUCUGGAUUUGCGCCCAAGAAAUCGGCGCCAUUAGUUGGCGUUGCACAUAAUACGUUUCCGUAUUUAAGUUCAGUUUCAGAUGUCUUCGUUUAAGGUUGGAAUUUCUGACGUACAUAUUAAUAAAUUCCUCGAUAUUUCAA